GUGUCAGCAGCCGCGGUAAUACGGAGGGAGCUAGCGUUGUUCGGAAUUACUGGGCGUAAAGCGUGCGUAGGCGGUGACUCAAGUCAGAGGUGAAAGCCUGGAGCUCAACUCCAGAACUGCCUUUGAAACUAGGUCGCUAGAAUCUGGGAGAGGUGAGUGGAAUUCCGAGUGUAGAGGUGAAAUUCGUAGAUAUUCGGAAGAACACCAGUGGCGAAGGCGGCUCACUGGACCAGAAUUGACGCUGAGGCACGAAAGCGUGGGGAGCAAACAGGAUUAGAUACCCUGGUAGUCCACGCCGUAAACGAUGAUAACUAGCUGCCAGGGCUCUUAGAGCUUUGGUGGCGCAGCUAACGCAUUAAGUUAUCCGCCUGGGGAGUACGGUCGCAAGAUUAAA
rnacentral:rRNA from 1 species